UACAGAGGGGGCAAGCGUUGUUCGGAAUUACUGGGCGUAAAGGGCGCGUAGGCGGCCUGUUAAGUCGAACGUGAAAUCCCCGGGCUCAACCCGGGAACUGCGUCCGAUACUGGCAGGCUUGAAUCCGGGAGAGGGAUGCGGAAUUCCUGGUGUAGCGGUGAAAUGCGUAGAUAUCUGGAGGAACACCGGUGGCGAAGGCGGCUACCUGGACCGGUUCUGACGCUGAUGCGCGAAAGCGUGGGUAGCAAACAGG
rnacentral:rRNA from 1 species